UAGGCUUGUAGGCAAAUGUUGUGGGCUAUACAGAAGUCCCACAGCCUGAGGGUUUCCUGGCAGAGGAGCAGGCCACGCCUUGCCUAUUGAUGUAAAACAUUGAGGCUGUGUUGUCCGUGAGAACCCUGACCACUCUGCCCUCCAGGUGCGAGCGGAAGGCCACGCAUGCUAGCCGGACUGCCUGGAGCUCCUUGACGUUUAUAUGCACAGACCUUGGGUCUGAAUAUUCCCCAAAUGGGCCCCCAACCCCAGGUCCAACCCGUUGGACACUAGCUCCACUGAUGGGGGCCUGCCCCUGAAUGGGACCCCGUGGAGGAUGUUACCCGGGGAGGACCACCACUGUAGGGAGGUGAGCCCCAGUUCUGGCACAGUUCUCCUAUCUCUGGACUGGGAGAACACCGAGGCCAACCAGUGCUGGAGGGGCCUCAUCCUGAGUCUGGUGUGGCGAACCACGUAUGUGCACGCUGACAUGUGACCCAGGAGCUGGAGGCAUGCUCUGGCUGUGGUUACGGGGAACCUUGUGACCGUGUCAAUGAGCCCUUUUAGGGUCUCGAAUCUGUCUGGUGGCCCUGGCUGACAUCGGGUCCAGGACUGCCCCGAUAAACUCCAUGCGCUGCAUCGGGACUAACGUGGACUUGGUGUCAUUUACCAACAGGCCCAGGGUGGCACAUGUGGACAGGAGGAGCGCCAUGUGAUCCCGCACCUGUGACCUGGAGCUGCCCUUGACCAGCCAGUCGUCAAGAUAGGGGAAGAGCUGAACCCCACGACGUCUGAGAGCCUUGCUGUCAAAUGAAAGGUCCUGCAGGGAGUUCUGCGCCUCGCUGGACAGCCCAGACAGCAGGAGCCAUGAUGCCCUCCUCAUGGACACCGCGGAGGCCAUGGACCACGCGGCUGUAUCCGCAGCAUCUGAUGCUGCCUGCAGGGUCGCCCUGGCAGCCGCUGUCCCCUCCUCCACCAGAGCCUUGAACUCCUUCCUGUCACGCUCCGGGAGGGAGUCCUCAGAUUUGGGCAGAGAGCCCCACAAAUUGAACUCAUACCACCUUAGGAGGGCUUGAUGGUUUGCCACCCUUAACUGGAAACUCGAGGACGAAUAAACCUUUCUCCUGAAUAA